CGGGUGAGUAACGCGUGGGUAACCUGCCUCAUACAGGGGGAUAACAGUUAGAAAUGGCUGCUAAUACCGCAUAAGCGCACAGCUUCGCAUGGAGCAGUGUGAAAAACUCCGGUGGUAUGAGAUGGACCCGCGUCUGAUUAGCUAGUUGGUAAGGUAACGGCUUACCAAGGCGACGAUCAGUAGCCGACCUGAGAGGGUGACCGGCCACAUUGGGACUGAGACACGGCCCAAACUCCUACGGGAGGCAGCAUG
rnacentral:rRNA from 1 species